GACCAAGAUGGUUAACAAGCUUCCUAAUCUGAUGACCAUCCUCUUGUUCAAACACUAUGCUGGGUACUCGCCCAGCUUUCCAGUCUUUGACAGAGACGUUCUUGCCCGAAGUGACACGAGCAAUGGCAUGAAUAGUUUUAUCGUAUUUAGGGUUGGGUUUUGGGAAAUCUUCAAGGUCUGGAACAGCGGCGGCGGUGGCAGAGUUGCUAAAGAAACGGAAAUGGUGGAGGGAUUUGAUAAGCACAAUGCGUCAGAUCAACAUUUUUUGGAUGUGAUUUAAGGUAAAAUAAUAUUUUGUACUUUUCAAAAUUUUAUCUCAAUUUUAAAAUGUAAUUAUUGCAAAUUUUUAUUGUUUACAGGUUUAAGAUAAAAUUAUCUUAUUUUAUCCUUAGUAAUUACUUCUUGCAUUCCUUAUUAAUUGAUCACAUCCUACUUUUGGUGAUAGUUGAAAUAUCAUGAAUAAGAUUACUAAUUUUACUAAUUUACUCUUCAUUCAUGUAGAUGAAUAUCAAGAUUAGUUAUAAAAAAUAUGCUCACAUUAAUUUAUUUAGGCUUUCAAAGAAUAUUAAUUGUAAGAGUAAAUUGAAAAGAUUUUAAUUAAUUUUGUCUUGAUUAGUAAGUGGAUAAAUAAUUUUGGACAUAUCUAUAAUCUAUAAUCUAUUUAUAUUUAUAUUUAUAUUUAUAUUUAUAAUUUAUAAUUUAUAUUUAUAUUUAUAUUUAUAAUAUAUUAAAAGUGUGAAGGAUCUUAGAAAUGUUGUUUGAACUUUUUGCUCUUCACUAAAAAUCCUUACUUUAGAAAAAAUCUCACUAUUUUUUCUUAAUAUUUAAGAGUUAAAAAUUAAUUAAAUAUAUUUAUGUUAAAACCUUUCCUUAUUAGAAGUUAUCAGAAUUUCAAUAUUUUUUUCUAAUUUAUGAGUUAAAAAUUAAUUAAAUAUAUUUAUGAUAAAAAGUUUUCUUAUUUAGAGAUCAUCAAAAUUAAUGACAACUGAUACCUUUUUAAUUAAUUUAAGAAUUUUAAAUCAAUUAAAUUUAAUUUUAAAAAGAUUUGUAAAAUCUAGAAAUAAAUAUAAAAACUAUUAGAAUAAGAAAAAUUUAAAAGUACCAGAUUUUUAAAAGUUUUAAGUACGUAAUAAUAAUGUAAUUAAUGAUUUUAUAAAGAUUUGAUUUUAAAAAUAAGAAAAUAUUUUAAAUGUAUAAAAAAAAUAAUCGUAACAAAUUUGUUCAAAUUGAUGUAUCUCUCUUAGUCUCUGGCAACAAGAUCCAUCAACCACUUGAAACUUUUGGUGAUAAAACAUAUAUGUGUAUAUGUUAAUAUUUACAUUAUUAUAUUAAAGUGUGAAAAAUUUUUGAAAAAUGAUUUGAACUUUUACAUUUUAUUAAAAAUCUCCACAAUAGGUAAAAUCAUUUAAUCUUAAAUAAUCAAACAUUAUACGUGCGAUUAAACUAGUAUUUAUAGUAAGGUGGCCAACUAAAAUGGAAUGGAAUGGAAGGAAUAUUUAUUUUAAAGACUACAAAUAUUGUUCCAAUAUCAAUGAAAAUAGUUAAUUUUUUUUUUUUAAAAAAAAAAAGAUCUCCAAAUUAAUGUUUCUUAAGAAACAUCUAAAAUAGAAUCACCACAAAUAAUUUAUGAUGGAGGAAGAUUUAAGUUGGAUGGAAUAAGGUGGCAUAUUCAUUUAAAAUUGAAUUUAUAUAUUUUGUUUGAUUGGAGAUAUUUGAGUGAGAAGUUUUGUUUGAUUGGAGAUAUUUGAGUGAGAAGUUUAUAUGACCAUUCAACUUUGGAUAAGUAGUUAUUAUAGUCGCUCAAUUUGUUUUAUCUUAUAAAAGUCAUUCAACUUUGUCAAAUUAAUUUCAAUGACUAUUAUUUUUAAUAAAUAAAUAAUUAUAUUGCCAAAGUAAAGCAUUUGGGUACAAACUAUACCUCUAGCUUACUACCAAGUUAUUACAGUGUGCAACAAACUACACCUAUGAUUUAUCUAAAAGUUAAAAAAAAAAAAUUUAGCUAUCUUGCCACUUGAAACUUCAUGUUACUCCUGACAUGGACCUCCUAAAUGACAUACUUCACACUGCUAUUCACAAAUUGCUUGCAGCUUUGAGAAGCUCCCAUAUUCUUUUCUUUCGACAUGCUAUACAUAGUCGCCGCUAAGUGAUCCUAUAAACUUGAGUUUGGUGCUUCUUCACUUGACGUAACAAAUUGGCCACUCUAGCUAGCCUGUCUUUGGUGUAUCAUUUAGUAUGAGCAAACUAUUAUCAACACAAAGGCCCACUUUGGCAAGAUUAAAUCAUUACAAAUUAGUCUUCUUCAGUCAACCAUUUGAAAGGUACUUCUAAAAUUAAGGUAGAACUGCUUAAUUGAGAAAUGAGACAUUCUACCUAUUCCUUCAUGUUAUUAUCAGCUUAAGUCACAUACUUGUUGAACUUAAGAAUCUUUGGACAAUCCAUGAUGUUGCUUUGGAAUGUCAACAAAAAAAGUUCCUAUGCUUAUAGUAACAGUGAAUCCACCUCAUCCACAACUUGUCUUUCUUCAACAUAGGUUUCAUUGGAGUUUGAUCAUAACUUCUUUGUUCCAAGUGUGGCUAUCCAGAAUAUUAAGGUCACUAGUAAUUUCAGGUUGACAGAUUCUAUCCCAGUCUGGGAGUGCUAUAUUUGACAUUUCAGCUAUAACCGUUCAAAAAAGGUCUUACAAAUAACCGCAAUGAGUUUCACUACCUUCUUGGGGAGACUAAAGAUUUGAGCCUAGAAGUUUUGGAUAGAGAAAAGUAUUGGUUUGAUCAGCUCUGUAUGGGGAAAAAUAUCUUUGAUAAGGAUUGGGCCGAUUCAGGUUGGGUAAUGAUCUUAGGUGGAUUUUUGCACUUAAGUCUAACUAUCUAUACGUAAUUAACCUUGUUUCGAGGACCUUUUGUGUGCAUAAUGAGUUGAUACUCAUAUAAUUUAGCAUCUAUGUGUUAAACUACUUUUAUGUUUAAGGUGUAUUCAAAACAAGUUUGGAAUCAAAAUGAUCACUUAGAAUUUAGACGAGAAAACUAGUGUUACUAGCUUGAGCUAUGUGUUGUUUUAGUGUAUCUCGAUAAAUUUUAUUGUGUUGAGUGCAUAAAUUCAUGGUUUUUGAAGUUAUAGGAGACUAGGGAUGAUGUUGAGAACAUUUUCGGGUAGCUAAACAAGCUGAAUUUGAAGGGAAAAGGCAGCCAUGAAGUGAGCAAAUAGGAGUAAACCUUGAUGAAAGCUGAAAUUUUUGAGGCCAUGGGCAUGCCACACCCUCUAGCCUCCGAGAUAAGAGUGUGCCACACCCCAAGACAUAAUUACAACAUGGAAAAAUAGUGAUCAUCCACGAUAAGGGCGAGCCAUGCCCUUAACGCGCCAAGACAUGGGUGUGACACCCCUUUGGUUCAAAAACGGGCAAUUCCCUUCUUAGUAUAAAUAGAACACUUGGAUUGUAUUGUAAACACCUUGGACGACUUUGAGAGAUGAAUAAAACUUGAGAAAGGCUAGAAUUAGCGUUCUUUGAUCUUUUUUUUAGUUUACUUUUGGUUUUUAUACAUGAAUUAGUCAUCGCGAUUCGUUGUAAAUCCAUGAGUGGCUAUACUCCUCAUCUAGGGUUGAAGCCAAUAACAUGAUUACUUAUGCUUUUAAUUGAGUUUGUUUAAGUUGAUUGUCAUUUUUCGGUUGUUCAUUUAUCAUUAUUCUUACUAUUCUAUGAAUUCACGACCCUUACGAUAAACUUAUAUUUCUAUUGUGAGCCCGGAAGGAGGAACAAUUGAUUUGAUCGUGGGAUCUUAUAUUUAGAGAAAUCAAUGUUAUAGUUUGCAUUUAGGAUAGAAAUAUACCUAAUUCACCCCAUUUGGUUCAUAUAUACCGGAUGAAAUAUAAAUGUGUUUAACUUAGUUCUCACCUCCCCACUCAACGAUAUAGUUGUGGGGCUAAGUUAGAUAGACGAUUAGAGGAUGACUAUUUCAUAAUUAUGUUAUUAACCCCAUGAAUCAACAACCAAAGUAAUUAACUAAACUAACGAGAUUGUAUAGCUAAGUAGGAUUGUUCAUAGUGGGAGUGUGCAAAAAUCGAAUUGACCGAUAAAUCGAACCAAAAAAUGAUUAUGGAUUUAUUGGUAUCGGGUUAUUGGGUUAACGAUUUUAAAAUAAAAUUUAUUGGAUAUCAGUUCGGUUUUCGAUUUUAAGGUUUUAGUUAACGGUUAAAUCAACAACCCAACAAGAUUAUAUUAAAAUUAUAGUUCGAUCCCUAAUUAUAUAAUAGUGGCUUUAUAUUUUAAAUACAUACCUCAUAGUUAUUUUUUACAUGUAGUUCUUUGUCUUAUUAUUGUUUUUUUCAUUAUAAACUUUUCGACUUGUUGGAUUUCUAUCCAUUAAUAUAAACUAUAAACCUACAUUGAUUUUGUUUGAGAGAUUAUCUUCUAAUUCAAAGACUCAUCCCAUGAUUACCCGUAAACAGAAAAGGUUUCUCAAGACCUGAGUUUUUGCUUCUCUUCUUUCUCAUUCCUCUACACUUCCAUUUGAGCUUUCAUCUUUUAUGGAAGCUUUUAAGUGUCCUAAUUGGAGAUGUGCUAUGGUCGCUGAAUACAAUUCUUUUAUGGCUAAUCCCACCUGGUCAUAAGUUCCACCUCCCCCUCAAGUCAAUAUUAUUGAUUUUCAUUGGGUAUAUCGUCUAAAAAAAAUCUGAUAGUCCUUCGGGAGUUUUAAGGCUCUUCUUAUAUCCAUGGCUACAAAUAAUAACAAGGACUAAAUAUGGUCAAAAGUUUAGUCAUGUGGUGAAACCAGUCAACAUUCGCAUUAUUCUAGCCUUUGCUGCAUCUAAGAAAUGAUAUGUCCAUCAAUUAGACGUAAAGAAUGCCUUUUUACAUCAAAAUCUUGACGAAUUGGUAUAGAUGAAGCAGCCUACUGGCUUUGUUCAUCCACAAUUUUCUGAUCAUGUUUGUCGGUUUAACAAAGACCUUUAUGGCUUAAAACAAGCUCCUCGAGCAUCGUUUCAUAGGUUUACUUUCUUUAUUUUAAGAAAUGGAUUUAAAAAUAGCAUGUCUGAUCGUUCUCUUUUCAUUUACAAACAUAAUUCAGACAUGGCUAUUCUUCUGCUCUAUGUUGAUGAUAUUCUUCUUACUGCUUCUAAUUCUUUACUUCAGACUCUUAAAUCUAAGUUUUUCGUGAAUGACUUAGGUUUAGUUACUUAUUUUCUUAGUAUUUAUAUAGUUGCUCGCAAUAGGGGUUAUUUUCUUUGUUAGUCCAAGUAUUUAAAAGACCUUCUUGAUCGUGCAAAUUCGUUAUCUUCAAAAUCGAUUUCAACUCCUCUUUCUCCUAAGACUCUACUUUAUUUCGAAGAUUCUCCUUCUUUUUCUGAUCAAACACUUCACAGAAAUCUUGUUGGUAGUCUCCAGUACUUAACUUUUACCCGUUCAGACAUUGCUUUUGCUAUUAAUCAAGUGUCUCAAUUUAUACAUUCUUCUUUAGCCAUUCAUUAUAUUGCCGUCAAAAAAAUUCUGUGAUAUUUGCAAGGUUCUGUGGAUCAUAGGUUAUUUUUCCUAGUGGCUCUACUAAUAACUUACAAUGUUACAAUAAUGCAGACUGGAUUGGUUGCUCUGUAACUUGUCGAUCUACU
rnacentral:lncRNA from 1 species